ACGGGAGGCAGCAGUGAGGAAUAUUGGUCAAUGGGCGAGAGCCUGAACCAGCCAAGUAGCGUGAAGGAUGACGGCCCUACGGGUUGUAAACUUCUUUUGCCGGGGGAUAAAAAACGGGACGUGUCCCGUCUUGCAGGUACCCGUGCGAAUAAGGACCGGCUAAUUCCGUGCCAGCAGCCGCGGUAAUACGGAAGGUCCGAGCGUUAUCCGGAUUUAUUGGGUUUAAAGGGAGCGUAGGCGGGCCUUUAAGUCAGUGGUCAAAGCGUGUGACUCAACCAUACCACGCCGUUGAUACUGGAGGCCUUGAGUGCACAUAAGGAUGGUGGAAUUCAUGGUGUAGCGGUGAAAUGCUUAGAUAUCAUAAAGAACUCCGAUUGCGAAGGCAGCUGUCCGGGGUGUAACUGACGCUAAUGCUCGAAAGUGCGGGUAUCAAACAGGAUUAGAUACACUGGUA
rnacentral:rRNA from 1 species